rnacentral:tRNA from 1 species
UAUUAAGUGGCUGAAAUUAAAGCAAUGGUCUCUUAAACCAAUAUAUAGUAAAUUACUCUUAAUAUA